UUUGUGUAUCUUCAGUAUUUUGCCACUCUGUACAGCCUCAUUAUACGGUAUAUACACGUGCCUACCGCUCAGCCACACAAUCUCUCAUCUAUACAGCUCUUCUCCGCUUAGCACUACGGUUUCAAAAUUCAAAACACUAUGCCCUAACCUCAACCGCGUGAGCUACGAUUAUCUCCUUUCUCGGCUUCUCCAAGAUAACUAGGGUUUUCAAAUUUGAAAACAUUCGGUCUAAACUCUCCCGAGCUUCAUCUCCCCUCCGUCGUUUCGCCCUUUCAUAUCAUACUAAUCAUCUUCUCUGACAUUUGGUUCUUGAUUUUAUUCAAAUUUGAAUCUCGCUGUGUGUAUAUGUAUCCAUCUCUCCUUCUUACUCUCAUAUAUUCGUCUAUCUCAUAUUUUAAUAUAUAGCCAUUGAUGAUUGAUUGUUCGUUCUUGCAGAAGCUUGAUUCGAGAGUAUUUAGAGGAGUAUAGAUUUAUGAUUUGAAGCGCAGCUGGUAAAUCAAUUGUCCGAUUAGAUCUCUCUCGCCGGAGUUGAUGAGACGGGAAGGUGUUCUUUUACGCGGUUUGGAUUCAAGGCUGUCUAAGGAUCUCCCUUCUGAUCUUCAAAAACUUCGAUGCAAGGUUGCCUUUCAAGCCCUGAAAUUUGCUCCACCAAUCUUGGAUCUCGGUAAUAAACUCACGGCGAGGAUACAGAGCAAAGGGCCAUAUCUUGCACUUCAUUUGCGUAUGGAUAGGACGUGGAAGUGUGCAUAUAGACUACAGUUUCGUUAUUUUGCAGUAUCUGACUUAUAAUCUGGAAAUUGAGUUGCAGCAGCGAGGGGCAAGCAUCCGGGAAAAGUACAUUUGCGAGAAGGUUUUCGAUCUCCUCAAAGUUUGUAUAUAAUUUCCUUCAGUAGAAACUACGUACAUAAUAUCUGAUUCGUUUUUGGUAAUUCUUCUGGGAUGCAAGAGCUGCUGCUAUAAUUUUUAUUAGUUGUAAUUUAUUUUGAGACUACUGUUGCUGAGUAUUGUACUACUGUUGCAGAGCUUUUUCGAGAAGCUGUUACUUUUCCCCAAAUGCAUCCUAAUUCAGUUUCAAUUUAUAAUUCAAAUUCUCAAUUCUCAACAAGGGGAUUUACACUUGGUUGAAAUAUGUACUUGGUAUGGCGUUUAGAAGAGACAACGAGCCUUUCAAGCUUUUGCUGAGGCUGGCAUUGUUGUAAGUAAGCUGUCUGUGGAUGAUUCCAGUUGGCAAAAAGGUGCAAAUUUUUUCCCAGAUAGAUUUAUAUCUCGCCAGGAUCUCAUAAGUUGGAAAGCCAAGCUAGAUUAUGAAGUCAUGCCAGGAUUAAAUAUAUUAUUGUUUGAGCCAUUUAGAUCAGUAAAAGAGGCGGUGGCAUUGUUCGGGGAGAGAGUUCUGGCAGGGGAUGUUUAUCAUGCAAACAGGCUUCAACAGGUACGAAGUUUUCUGCGUUACGAAGACACGGGCACUUUAAUGGUUACAAAAAGCUUUGGAAGCUGAUUGUAUCAGUUUCUGGAUGAGAAGUACUUGACAAUAUUGAAUAGUCGAAGCAAUCAAACAACAAAGUGGAAGUAAGAUACAGUGAUUUGGCCGUUCAACACCUGAAAGUGCAAGUUAUUGAGAAGCCUCAAGCUAUUAUACCAGUAGAAAAUUACAAAGGCAGAACUAAAGAGGGCAUCAAUCAGCAGUC